UACAAAUUAAAAGGGACUUGCACAAAAUUGACACUAAAUGCAAGACAAAGUACUCAAUCAACAUGAACAUUAAACAAAACAAAAUGGCACAGAAGAUUGGACAAUGGGAUGUCUACUUGAGUUGAAGAGAAGAAGAAUGGAAUGAUGCACUUGAUGGUGUGAAAGCUAGGGGAAAAAGUGAGAGGUUGCAGUAGUAGCACAAAGAUCCCCUUGAGUGGUGAAAGAGGAAGUAAAGUUUAAUAAUGGUGCUAGGGUGGAAGAAUUAGUGAGAGUGGUGGUGGAGAUUGAGAGUGCAAGAGAACUAAAGAGAGCAUGAGAAUGGAAGAGAGGGAAGUGGAGAAAGUCUUGGUCAUGAGAUAGAGUGUGAGUGGGAGUUUCUAAAAGUGAGUGAGAGUGAUUACGGUUAAAAUAGGCUAAUGGGUUGAAGCACUAUGCACAAAAGCCCAAAAUGUAGUGUGGGUAUACAACGUUGGCGCGUAGGCGCCCCUUAAUAGAGGGUAUUGAGUGCGACUUAUCAAAGGGUAAUUGACAACUUGCGCCUGGGUACCCGUGAGCAAAGAGCGUUGGGGCACCAUAUCAGAAAGCAGUUAUGAAGAAUUUGACCUCUCACCCUUGGACUUUUGGAAUUUGACACUUUUUCACCCUUCAUUCAAUCCAGAACAUUAUGUUUUCACAUACAAACUUAAUCAAAUCCAUAAGGAAUGAAAAUGAAUGCAUGAAUGACAACUUGACUGCACAUUUCU
rnacentral:lncRNA from 1 species